AUACAUAGAAAAGAAUUAAUUCAUAGUCAUUCUAUAUAAUUAUCUAAUGUGAUUUAUAUCGAGAACAUACUCUAAUUUUGCAGCAAUGAAAACGAGAACGUAAUUUGUAUUAAUCUUAUUAACUAUUACUCAUUUUAGUUUAUUGUCCUGGCAGUGAGUCUGAAUUACAAUUUCUUCAAAUGUAUUCAAUAUUUGAGGAUUUUGCUUAUUAUCCGGGCUGUCAUCAGCUAAAUGAGAGGGGUUAAGUUUUUGAAGAAACAUUAUUUUUGCUAAGGUUUUUAGGAGCCCUCGGGCCUUUUAACCCUUCCUGCUCCAAAGACUGUCAAUCAAAAUGCUAAAGCAUCUUUAUUAUGUGGAAUCUGAGCUGUCUCAAAAGUGACACCAACGUCAACCAAAAGGAAAUUCAUACUUACAAUUAAUUACAAGGGUUAUUUAACUAAACGCCCAAAUACUGCAUUGCAGAGAACUGGGUCUGACUUGGGAUAAUCACCAAGAAACACAGCAUGGGGCUAUGGGGAUAAAUAAUAAAAUAUGGAGCACACAGAACUCCACUUAUUAAUAGUUUGGAUGGAGAGCUAUUAAUAAAAGCCUGAAGGGCUGAGUGAAACUUUAUGUCUGCAUGUUAUUAAAUAGCCAAGUGAGGAGGUAUUUGUAUUAUUAAAUGCCUGAAGGGAGAUGCCUAUUAUAAAAGGCCUGAUGCAUGGUAGGGCUAUAUAAAAACUGUUAAAUGCCUGGGGCAGUGUGACUAUUAGGCAUUAUUAAAUAGCUGGAAGAGUUAGCUAGAUUAUUAAAUGCAUUGUUGUUGUUUUACCUGAGGAUGCAAGAACGUCGAUAUCAUUAAAUCACCCAUUCUCUAAACUGCAAUUUCAAAGCUCACAGAAUGCAAUAGUCUUUUUUAAUAACUCCAAAUCUAUGCAAAUAGAAAGGGGGUUUAGUGUAUGAUCAUACAUUGCAUAAUAUACCCCAUUAUUGGCAGGUCGUAUCCUAGCAACCUAAUUCCUGCUCUCAUGAGAUAAAAUCUUUAUUGAUUUGUGUGUGUAUAUAUAUAUAUAUGAGAAUCACUGAUAAUUCAAGAAAAAAAUAUAUAUACUCAAAUCAAUAAAGAUUUUCUCUCAUAAGAGCAG